CAUGGCAUCUGCUUGGAAGCCCAGCAAGGCGGAGGCAGGGAGGAGGCAGAGACAGGAGGAUCCUGGGCCUCCCUUCCCUACCUGCCAACAGAACCAAACCCAAGGCCAGUCUGAAAGGAGGAAGGUGGGGUUUCCGAGGAUAAUAUCUGAGGUUGUCCUCCAGCCUCCCCCCGCCCCCAUCAAAGUAAUAGAAGCAUAUAAUAUUGAUAUCUUAAGGCUAAAUUCGCAAGGUAAACUGUUUGACGCUGUGGCAAUGCUAGGGUGUAAGUAGGCGGAGCCCUCUCCUGUCAAUCAAGCUAAGUUCCAGGGUUACUCAGGGUGUUUCCUGGUAUCACACACAGGGGAGAAAGUCCUCCUGCAGCGUGCGAUCUUCCUACUGAUCAGCAAAUAGAGCUGGCCAGCCAGAUUCUAAUCUUUACUGCAGUGUUCCCAGGAAGCACUUGGAUACCCAGUUAAAUAGAGGCCUGACUUCUAUACAGAGAGGCAAACCAGGCAAAGCCCAUGUGGGACCCUUUGACUCUACACUCCAGUCAGAUCUGUUAGUACUGGAACGUGCAACACAAUUGUCCUUAGAGCCAUGAAAAGCCCGACACUUGAUGAACUGGGGUGGAACAUGCAGUUGUAUCAACUGGAGGGUGGGGCGCCUUAGACCACAUCAGGCAACAUCUUUCCAAAGAAAUAGCUUCUUGUGACAGCGGGGUUAGGAAGCAGGAAAGAGAGUAUGGUUGGCAGGCUCUAUUGGAGGAAGACCUAAGGGAAAGGGGGAGCAAAAGGACACGAUAAAUAGGAGAGAUGAGAAUAAGGAGUGAGAGAAAUAGGUGAGGUUACCUUCACAAUCCAGGGCCAUCUUCAAGAAAUGGGUGAACUGUGUUCCAUGAACCAGGUGCCACGAACAAAGCCACCUCAAAAAAAAAGAUGACUAUUGUGUUUUCUCUUACGAGGAUCCUAGAUUUCAUGCAUGUAUGAAAGCACAAGUAACAUGGUUUUAAAUUUUGCAAUGUGUUUUUAAUAAUAAAGCUUAAAAUGAAAUUUAUUUCUGAAACUAAUGAAAAGUAAAACCAAAACUUUCUAGUGAAACAAAGGGGACAAAUAAAAUGGAGAGAAACUGGAGAGAUGAGAAGGGGAGAGGACAGGUUGGGGAUUUAGCUCAGUGGUAGAGCGCUUGCCUAGGAAGCGCAAGGCCCUGGGUUCGAUCCCCAGCUCCGGAAAAAAAAGAACCAAGAGAAGGGGAGAGGACACAGGUAUGUAUGAAAAUGUCUUUACACUACACCGCACCAAGUUGGACAGCACUCAGCAGGGAGAGGCAGGUUGAUCUCUAUGAGUUCGAGCCCAGCCUGGUCUACAUAGAGAAUCCUAGGAUAGCCAGGACUACACAGUGAGACAAACAAGCAAACAAACAGAAAACUUAAAAUAAUUACUAUAGGGAUUUAGCUCAGUGGUAGGCCCUGGGUUCGGUCCCCAGUUCCGAAAAAAAAGAAAAAAGAAAAAAAAAAUAAUUACUGAACUAUUUGCAAAUGCAUAUAUGAAAAGAGAUUUUGAAAAGCAAACUAAAACAUAUGCAAUUUCGAUUACUUUUAGUUAAAAAAAAAAAAAAAAGACAGUGACCCACUGGCCAUUUCUCUUCUAGUUACUGCUGCUUAAACACUCAUGUUAGAAGUGAAGCAUGGGCUGAAAUGAGAGAAUUCUGGGGGCGCGAUGUUUAGCCAAGGGGCUCUUGCAGAGCAUCCUUGAGGCCCUAGGCCUGAACCCCAAUACUAAAACCAACCAAACAGAAGCUGUUUUGUCAAAGGACAUUCUUUUUCUGCUUUUUAAGACAGUCUCCAUACCCUAGGUAGUCCAGGCUGGCCAAGCAUUCAUGGUCAUCCUCCUGCCUAAGCUUCCCAGUGCUAGGAUUAUAGGUAUGCACCACCACACCCGGCUUAAAGGCGAAGCUUCAACCUACACAUUUAGCUUCUGUCUCGGCUGCUUUCUGACUGUGCCAGCCAAUAAGAUAAUCAGGAAAGCACACCAACCAGUCAGGCCAUACCUGUCAGCCUAGCCACCCUCACACAGAUAAAGUACAAGGACAGCUUUUCAGUGUAAAUAGCUUUUUUGAAGUGACAGGACUGAAAAAAGGAAGGAUUCUCCUGACCUAAUUUACAUCCUUCGAAGCACAGCCAGCUUAGCUGGCCUCCUUUUCCAGCCAGUCCUAGCAGGAGGUGAUCUGCACUGCCACACCCUUUCCUAAAUGGUGGAGUCCGUACCCCCUUAGAGAGCUCUCCUGGCCAGCCAUCUAAUGGUUUAGGUGGGGAGGGGGAUGUCAGUCAUUUUGACUAAUUAUGGAUUUUACAUUUAACCUCAAACUUACAGAUCCACCAUCCCUUCCUUGUGAACGUGAAUCCGAUUGACUUUCCUGUGCCCCCACAACUACAACUACUGUCCUGGUUAUGAUCCAAACUGCCACCUUCCCAGAACUCCCUCAUCAAUUCAUGCUUAUUACAGUUAGUCUCUUACUGCAUGGAGAGGGCCUUCUAGAAACCCAGUCUCAGCCAGGCAGUGGGUACACCCCUUCACUUGGGAGGCAGGUGGAUCACUGACGAGGCCAGUCUGUUCUAUCAGUGAGUUCCAGGAUGCCUUGAACCUAUCCCCCACCCCAAAAAAGAAAAGAGACUCAGUCUCUAUUUCUCUUUAAAAUAAAUACAAGGACUGAAAAACCUGAAAUACAGCUCAAGUCCAGGGACUGGGAUAUAGCUCAGUUGGUAGAGUGUCUGACAUUCAGGAGGGCCUGAGUUCAAUCCCCAAUACCACAAAAAUGGGACAGGGUAGUGCAUGACUAAUCCCAGUCCUGGGGAGGUCGAGACAGAAAAAUCAGAAGUUCACCUCCAAGCUCGGCUACAUUGUAAGUUCAGGGCCAGCCUGAACUAGAUCAGGUUCUAUCUCAAAAACCACAAGGACUACAAAAAAAAAUAUACCCGAAUUCCAUCUUCUCCCUCCCUACGUUUUUGCCAUUCUUUACAGAUCAUGUAAGAACAUUUCUAAGAAGCUGGGUGUGGUAGCCUGUCAAAACACAGUCCAAGAAUGGAGUCCUAUGAGAUUUCUGACUUCUUGGAGAAAACUCCAUGGGGAAAAAAAAAAAAAGAGUCUUGUGACUUUAAUUUCUUCCAAAACAAAGAACUGUCCUUGGAUUAUGCUUGCGUGCCCCACCCAGGUGCAGUGGAUGGGAGUGAGCUUCAGAUUAUUCACCACAGAUGCUAUUGUAACUUGUUUCUGUGGGAUGGGCUCCUCUGCCAUGUGCAUUGUGAUCUACACUGUAGAGGGAUUUUAAUCCAGCAAGAUGGCUGCUCUGGCAAGGGAUCCCAUCCCAAAAUAUAAUCUGGCUGGAAAGCAGACACACCACACACCUUUGCUCUCUCUGGCUGGAAUGCAGACAUGCCAUGCCUUUAAUCCCAAACAAUGACCUCUAAUUGAGGGGCAGACAAAGUGAUGAAUCAGAGAAAGAGUUGACAGAAUGAGUCAAAGAUAGGAUAUACCCGCCCGACUCUCACGAGGGUAGGAAAGAGGGGCUACUUAGAGGGAGGCAGUUUGAAGGAGUUCAGUUUUUUUUGUUUGGUUGGGUUUUUUUUUUUUUUUUUUUUGGUUUUUUUGUUUUGUGGAGCAUCGUGAUAGGCACGUUAUUUUUAUGGAUGUGUUUAGGAUGAAAAGGAGUGGGAGAAGCGAGAGGAGGAGGAAGGUGAAGGUGAAGGAUCCUAGUUUGUUUUUUUUUAAUUUUUUUUUUUCUGGAACUGAGGGCCAAACCCAGGGCCUUGUGCUUGCUAGGCAAGCAAGGACCCUAGUUCUUACUGAAGCAUAAGAGCUAUUAGGAGGCUUGGCCUGGUAGAAAGUAGGUAGGGUAUGAGGACCCUAAGGGUUUUCGCCAGCUUUACACCCACCGCCUCAGGUCAAGAUUAGGCCAAGUACCAGCUUCCCACCUCAAGUCAAGGCUAAGCCAAGUUCCAUUCUCCACCCACAGUUCUUAGGAGGAGCAGGGACAUUCUUGAAAAUCUGCAGAAUGUACUGACAUAGUCACCUGACCCUCUGGUCCCAGAGUUGGAAUGCAUGUCAUAUGCUUGCUAGCCAAUAGAUUCAGAGGUCAAUAUGUUUAGCCAAAAAGUUUAAACUGUAACCUUGAUGAUGUAACCUGUACCCCUAAAAAGUAUAAAAACUGCUUGUUAUAGCCAUUGAGGAUUGCCUUCCAGUCACUCACCACAAGGGACUGAUUGGAGGCGGACCCUGACUCACCAGAAAAUAAACCUCUUGUGUUUGCAUCGAACUCCAUUCUACUUGGGGGGGGGGGGUCUCCCAGUAGGCAAGACUCACUUCGAGCCUUACAAAGGAAUUAUAUACAAAGAGAAAUGACAGAGACGGCCUCCUCCUUUAGCUCUUUGCGCUUUCUUUUUCUUUGUUUUUCGCAUCCUUAGGAUGUGCAUGCCACGUCAGUCUCGCUUCAUAAAAUGCCAUCAUAAUUUGGGGACAUUUCCCAUUAGCUUCUUUUGCAAGAACCAGAUCGGCUUCAUCUGUGUCUCCAUUCAGUGCAGUUUUAUUCAGACAGGUCAGUCAAAUGCAUUUCAGUUGAGUCCAGUUGAGCUCAGUUCAGACCACAACAGUUCAGUUUGUGGGGUCCAGAGACAGGUUUGUUUGUUUGUUUUAUUUUUCAAGCAGAGCCCAUUUGAAAUGGUCAGCUCCGAGAGGAGUUUGAUCCAGAACAGCUGAAUUGAACCAACCAGCCAGAGUUCAGAAAAUGCUAGAAAGGGUGUGUCUAUUCAGCAUAAGCGUCUCUUGGGGGCUGAAACAUUCCAUGCCCAGGUUAGCAGAGACUGGAAGCUGAAGUCUUUAAGGUUCCAAUUUACAGAAGAUUAGAUUGAACGGGGCUAGACAGUUCCAAGCCUAGGCGUAGGAACAGCUGUGUAGGGACACUAUGGGCUCAGCCCAAGCCACCUAUAACUAAAGCUGGUCACACUCUCACCUCACCACUUUGAGGAAAUGAAACCGACAUUACAAAACACGUUAUCCGUGUGACUCCUCUUAACUCUGAGCGUAUAAAUUGUCAGAUGCUUUGAAUUAAGAGGGCCACUGCGUGAGACUUUAGUUCAUCUCAUUUCUGGGCUCCGUUCUGCCAGGUUCCUGUCUCUAGAGCAGGGACAGACACAGUGACACAAGCCCUUUGUGCUAGCACUGGGGAGGCAGGGAUAGGAAGAUCUCUGAGUUUGAGGCUAGCAUGGUCUACAGAGUGAGUUCCAAGGCAACAUAGAGAGACCCUAUCUCCACAAACAAAACAGACAAAGAAACAAAAAUAACAUUUCUAUGUUAAGAUGAAAAAAAAAAAAAAGAGCAAAAAGCCAGGCUUCCCAAAUCAUACGUUUUGACAGGUUUCCACCAGCAGAGCAUUUCGAAUAUAAUUAGCUGAGUCAGGACAGCUAAUGGCCAGAAGUUAUUUAAAAGUUUCUUAGCUGUGGGAACGUCCCACAAACAGGGAGACUCAGUGCAGGAUCUGUCUUUAUAGAAACCCAGUGAUCCUGGCUUACUAAGACCCAGCCCAACACUUGGCAAAGAGGAGACAAUCAAACAAUAUAUUCAGAAGAAAUAAAAGUAAAACACAGAUAUUUUAUGUCAAAACCCUUGUAGUGAUGAUUUGGGGCCAUUUUUUAUGUUUUCUUUUUUCUUCCCUGUCACUCGCCCUGUCCUUCCCUUCCCUUUCCCCAUCCCUUUCCUCCCCAUCCCCCCCCUUCUCUCUCAUUUCUAGGAAUUAAAAUCAGCAUUCCAAGCAAAUGUUUUACCACUGAGCUGCCCCAGCUUCUAUAAUUAAAAAAAAAAAACUGUAAAGAUGUCUUAAAUAUAUCUCUCUGGAAAUUUCCCCUAAAUUACCCGGGAGUCAGGGUACACAGGUUGGGACUGAACACCUAAUCAAUGUCCGUGAUUAAGGAAAUGUAACUCACACCUACUAGAAUAUUAGCCACCCCUCUCUUCUGGGAACUGGCCAGUCCUCCCACAGGUGUGGACUGCUGACAGCCAUAUCUCUCCCAUGUGAUCCCUCAGUUGGUCAAAGUGGACCAUGGGAUUACUCUGCACAGCCUAGUUCUCAUCCCACGUGCUUCUUGCCGGCUGGGAACACUGGGAGUAUCUGUAGAUAGAUACUUUGUUAAAAGUCAGUGGGGUCAGAGGGGUGGCUGGUAGGCAUGCCUGUGGCUGUAAGUCAAGGAUACCGCUAAACACCUUCUAAUGCACAGCACAGCCCCACAGCAAACAAUGAUCUGACCUAACACGUCACUAAGUUUAGGUAAUGUAAAUCCAGUGGAUGGGAAUUCCUGGCCCUCAUCACACAUGAAGAAGAAGCAGGCAAGGUCACCCACAGAGAAGAUGCUGGAGUUAUAGACAGUUUUCUGAUUCCUCCACUGUUUCUCUACUCAGCUCCUAGGAAGUACACAGGAUUCAAUCUAGGGCCUCAAGCAUCGGAGAGGAACGCCCUACUACUACUGAUCUGCUGUCCCAGAAAGUUUCUUAAGUCGCAAUUUCAGGUCUUUCUGCAUGUUUGUUUUUGCUUCCUUUCAAUAAGGAAUAAUGCAGCAUUCUACUCUUAAGAGAAUCCUCGAAAUAAUACAAAGCGGAAAACACCCAGAAGCCAGGGUGUACCAGCACUGGGAAGGUAGAAGCGAAGUGGGAGGAUCAAGAGUUCAAGGCUUGGGGCUGGGGAUUUAGCUCAGUGGUAGAGCGCUUACCUAGGAAGCGCAAGGCCCUGGGUUCGGUCCCCAGCUCUGAAAAAAAAAAAAAGAACCAAAAAAAAAAAAAAAAAGAGUUCAAGGCUUGACUCAGCUACAGAGAAAGUUUGAGGACAGCUUAGAAUACAUGAAAGAUCCUGUGUAUAAAAGCAAGCAAACAAACAAAAACAAAGCAAAACAAUAUUAAGCCAAACCAAGCCAUGAUGCUAAGUACUAAGAGACAGGUAGGGCUGGAGCGAUGGCUCAGUGGUUAAGAGCACUGGCUCCUCUUCUAAAGGUCCUGAGUUCAAAUCCCAACAACCACAUGGUGGCUUACAACCAUCUAUAAUAGGAUUUGAUGCUGUCUUCUGGUAUAUAUAUAUAUAUAUAUAUAAAUAUAUAUCCUUUAAAAGGAAAGAAAAGGAGAUGGGUAAUUCAGGGUAUUUUGAGACUCCAGAAUGGUAGAAUUUCCCUGAGGUCAGGAGAAAACCCUAUAAUGUGUGACAGCUACUCUGAGAACUCAAGCAAAGAGGGAGAAAGCAUGGCCAAGCAAGUGUGUGUUUGUGUGUUGUUUUUUUUUUUUUUAAGAUCCCAACCAUUCAAUUUUACAAAAUGAAGACUCAAGAGUCAGAUGUUGGGGUGAGAGCCUGCCUACUCAGAGAGACAGAGAAAGCACCCGACUGACCUCCUCAACUGAUGUCCCACAAGGGAAAAGCUCUUUCUCCUUCUCCGUGCUCUCUUAAAUAUCCUUCAACUCAAAGACCCUCCCUUCUGUUUACUUAUGCUCACUUCCUGUCAGCUGUUCGCUUGCUCCACCUCUUGACCUGUGGCUGACUUUAUUUGGCUCUUGGAUUGAAGGUGUGCGCUAGGGCUGAACCACACCACAACUAGAAACAGGUUUUUCCAGUCCACAGUCUCCAGGUUCACAAUGUGAUCAAAUAUCCUCCAACAAGUAUGCGUGUGUACAAAUGUCCAUAAAGGAAACAGCAUGCCAAGUGCCUGGGAGGAUCAAGGGUUUGGUGUAGCCGUCUGUCUGUCUGUCCGUCUAUCUGUCUGAAAGCUCCAGUUCUGCUUUCCUCUGCAUUGCAGGGGACAAAAAGCUAGCAAGUUCAUUUCCCAGAUCUCUGCCAACUGGCUAUUGGCCAGGCCUGGCCAGUGGAAAGCUGUGGAGGAAGACAAUACUGGGUGGUCUGUCUGUGAGUGUGUGUGUGUGUGUGUGUGUGUGUGUGUGUGUGUGCCUGAGUGUGUGUGUGCCUGAGUGUGUCUGUGUGUAUGUGUGUAUGUGUGUGUGUCUGUGUGUGCCUGAGUGUGUCUGUGUGUGCCUGAGUGUGUCUGUGUGUGCCUGAGUGUGUCUGUGAGUGUGUGUAUGUCUAUGUGUGUGUCUGUGUGUGUGUUUCUGUGUGUUUGUCUGUGUGUGUGUGAGUGUGUAUGUGUGUGUGCCUGAGUGUGCCUGAGUGUGUGUGUGCCUGAGUAUGUGUGUGUGCCUGAGUGUGUGUGUGCCUGAGUGUGUCUGUGUGUAUGUGUGUGUCUCUGUGUGUGUGUCUGUGUGUGUGUGCCUGAGUGUAUGUCUGUGAGUGUGUGUGUCUGUGUGUAUGUGUGUGUGCCUGAGUGUGUCUGUGAGUGUGUGUGUCUGUGUGUGUGUGCCUGAGAGUGUGUGUGUAUGUGUGUGUGUCUGUGUGUGCCUGAGUGUGUCUGUGAGUGUGUCUGUGUGUGCCUGAGUGUGUGUGUAUGUCUAUGUGUGUGUCUGUGAGUGUGUGCGUGUGUGUGUGUUUCUGUGUGUAUGUCUGUGAGUGUGGUGUGUCUAUAUAUGCAUUUUUGUGUGUGUCUGUGUGUGUGUCACGUUCCUCCACAUUGCUAGUGUCUCUACUAGUGGCAGCUGCAGCAGCCAGUGAGUAAGUCCUCCUGGGUUCACCAGCAGCCGUGACAGGCACACUACAUCAUCUUCCGCGGCAGUGGUGGUAAUGACAGAGGAUACCUCUGCACUCCAUUCAACAGCGCACCAGUCACAGACAGCAUUGUUUGCCAAGGCUGGAGAGCAUCAUUUUCACACUUCUCCAGCCUAGCUUCAUGCAGCCAUAAAUCUCUGGGGAGACAUAUUUUUAACACUUCCAUUUAUCAUAUUGUCUGUGUUUUAAAUACCUUCUGACUGGACCCUAAAAUAACCACUGAGUCAGACAGUAAGCAGAGCUGUGGUGAGCGAUUUGGUUCAAUAGGCAACAGCAGCAGAUGGUGCAAGCUUGUGUUAAGAAAUGAUAAGGUAUUUGGACUUUGUUCUGAGAGCAGUGGAGCCCCCACCGAAGACUUAAACACAUACCAAGGAUCAAACACAGUCUUCCCCAUGCUUUUGCACACAAGUGCUGGAUGGCUGAACUACUCCUCAGUGCAAGGUUUUAAAUAGAUGUGUACUUUAUAAAUCUCUAUCUUCAUGGUCGCAUGACAUAGUAAUUUUUGAACCAAUGUUUAGAAAACAAAACAAAACAAAAACAAAACCCCACUUUUCAAAACAUCCAGAAGAGCUGGUACUAAAUCCUUGUCUUUUUGUUUUUGAGACCCUGUACAUAUAUAUACAGUGUGUGUAUGUGUGUGUAUAUGUAUGUAUGUAUACCCUUGGCUGGCCUCCAACUGAUAGAGAUCCACUGUCCUUUGCCUCCUGAGUUCUGGGAUUAGAAGUAGUUACCACCAUGCCUGUCCUCCAUUUCUUUGUUUCUUUCUUUUUCCCCUUCUUUUCCCUCCCUCCUCCUUCCUUCCUUCCUUCCUUCCUUCCUUCCUUCCUUUCUCUCUUCAGUACUAGCGAUGGAAUGCAGGGCACAAUGGAUGCUAGGUAAGCACUUUACUACUGAACUGUGUGCCUGCCACCCUUUUCCCCGUUGCAUUUAAUCCUAACUGAUCCUGGCCAUCUGCCCAUGUCUCCCAUUCAUUCUCCUUCCAUGUGUUCAGCACUUUUCAGAGUGCCGGGAGUGUAACUGUAGACAAGGCAGAUUAUAUCCCUACCUUGGUGGACUCUGACAUUCUAGUUGGCAGGCAAAGAACAAGUGAGGAAAAUCACGUACAAUUUAAUAAAGCAAUGGGAAGCAAAUGGGUAGAAUACUGACGGAACAUUGCCGGAGGGGAAGUGGGGAGAGCUAGCUGUGUGAAAACGCUCAGGGAGGAAGUGGAAGUUGAUAGCUACAGAACCCAGCAGAGCGCACAUGUCUUAGGUGGUUAAAGUGAGAUUCUAGGACCUGAAAAGCUAAUGGGUGCGGACUGUACUCAUCCAGAAGCGAAGACACAGCACAAGACAGAUGGAGGAUCCUGCGGGGGCUUGAUGAAGCAAGCCCUGGGAGCGGUAUUAUCGGCCUUGCUUCUGUUUCUUCCCUAAUACAAAAUAUAUGCAGAGGCACGGAAAUGAUCAGAUUCAUUUUUCGGAAGAUGGCGGAUUUAGAAUACAGAGGGGAAGACUGUUGGGAAAGCUUAAUGAGAGACUAUUGCAGUGGCCCAGGAGAGGAGAGCCCGGCCAGGAUUAGAGCGCACGCAUGUUCUUUCCUUAACCUGAGUUUCUUCCUUUGUAAGGGGAGAGAGGCAGACAGUCCCUCCAAAGUGCUCAGGGCUAUUGGACCUGUACUGCCAACAACGUGAAACUUCUGUCUAAAGGACCUUUGCAAGCCUUAAAGUCAGUGCUCGUGUCCCAGUGCCUUUACGUUUCUUGGUGACUGUCUCUUUGAGGAAAUACUGUUCUUUCAAAACAACAAUGGUAUAACUCAGCUGAUACACAUAAAAGCCUCUUUGAUAUUCUGAGGGUGGGCGGCUGGGGAGAUGGCUCAGCGGUUAAGAGCAUUGACUGCUCUUCCAGAGGUCCUGAGUUCCAACCCCAGCAACCACAUGGUGGCUCACAACCAUCUCUAAAAGGGAUCUGUUUCCCGAUUCUGACGAGCAUGAAAACAGAGCAUUUAUGUACAUAAAAUACAUAAAUAAAAAAAGAUAUUCUGAG